UUGAGUGUCUAAAUGGUUCACCAUCUACUUUGAUAAUAUUGACUAAAACAUAAAUUCCAACUUAUAAACUGUAUCAAUUGAGUAUUCAUAAAAUCAUAUCAAUCGUAUACAUUUCAAAUUCCUGGUAGGUAUUUACCUACAUUAGUUCAUCAGUAGAUUGGAGUAUAACUUUUCACUGUAGAUAUUUUUGUCGCUAUAAUGUUUGUAAAUACUAGACGUUAGUACACCACUGCGUUACCGUUAAAGCGGUCGAAUUAGUUUGUUUUCGUUACCAAAAAUGUUUUUGCAAAAAAACGAUGCGGUUGACAGUUUACAUGUUAUAAUAAUUCUACUGAACUCUUUUUUAUGAAAGUAAUAAAUUACCCUUAAAAUAAAAUAAGUAAACUAGUUAUUACUAUACUAUAAUUAUUGUAGUUCUUAAAAGGCCUAACUGCUGUUAGUAUAUAUGCAAUAAGCCUGAAAACAGUAGACCGUUUAGAAAAAUAAUAAGUAGUUCACAAACGGGCUACCCCAUUACAAAGAAUCUUUUCGCAAAAGGACUGAUUUUCCAUAUGACCUACGACAUAUACAUGUAUAGUGUAUAAUAGUUUGUUUCUAAUGAAGCGUUAGUAUUUUUUUGUUAUUUUUAUGACUUCCCGCUGAUACUAAUAUUAUACAAAUAUCAAGUUGGAAAAAAACCUUUCUUUCGAACCUUCCCCCCACCCCCGUUUAAAUUUCACCAACGAAUAUUUAGCCCCAACCUGGGGGUGUUAAAUUUCUCACUUUUCGCUGUUAUAACACCGGGUCUCGAAUCAAUCAAAACGAAAGUCAAUAUUUUAAUUUUCAAUUAAUUUUAAUCAAUUUUCGACAGAUUUAUGUUACUUUUGUAACCGAAAAUUCUUUUCUAUUGAGUCGAUUUGAGUUUGGGCAUCCUUGAUGACGUACCCAGUCAAUGGUUAAUAAUAUAUAAUAAUAAUAUAUAUCAACCUAAUCAAUUUUAUUAUUUAAUGAUUAAACGAAAAAUCCUAUUCGUAACGG